CAACACGUUUUGGAAAAAAACAUCCAUUUGCUCCCCGCCCAAAAUUUUCCAAAACUUUCAUCCCCAAACACCCAGGACAACAAAAAUGGCCUACAUAGCAUGUGAAAUCCCUAAAUUGAAGUUAACUAAAAUGAGAGGAUGUGAUAAGUGAGAACCUUAGAACAUGGAAUCCGUAAAUCCCAAAUAUCCCAUCUCUCUUUGAUACAUAGCAAUCUCGACGCUGACCACAACUCGUCGUUCCCUUCGUUGAAGACGAUGACUUUCUUUCCAAUCUAAGCGAAUCACGAUUCUAGAGUCACCACGAGGCCACGAGUGGGGGUGUAAUCUGUUUGGGUUUUUGUGGCUUUAGUCUCUGACUUCUUCAAAGCUUUGGGCUUGUUGAUGAUGAAAUUUGAUUGAACAGAACAUUCUACAAUAUAAAGUCUGCAGUUUGCAAAACUUUCAAACUGCAGUCUGCAGUCUACUGCAGUUUUGCAAAACUACACUCUGCAGUCCACUGCAGUUUUGCAAAACUACAGCAAAUAUGAGUGUGGCGGAAGCCAGAAAAGAGUGUCAAAGUCAAUAUGGGUGGAUGAAGGAAGAAUUGGAUAGAUUAGUAGAGCAACUAAUGUCGCAACGACAGCAACAACCUGAUGAGGAAUAACUGGUAAAACAUUCUUUGAAGCUAAUCAAGAAAAUCUGAAUUGUAAAUAGAAUGUUGUUGAAGACAAAGAGAUUGCGUUUAGGGUGGAUAAACUUUAGCUCGAAGUAGAAGGGAUGGAAGCAAACAAGAAACUGUGACAACAUUGAAGAUUCUGGAUUAUAGGAACGAACAAAGAUGUUUGCAAUUUUGUUUCUUGUUUCACUCUUUGGGAAUUUUGAAUCCUGAAACUUAGAAGAUUCUGUGUUAGUGGGUAAGUAGGAAUUGUAAUGUCAACGCUCUUUGUUAAUAAAGAAGUGCAGUUUGAUUUGGGAAACUCAACU